UACGUAGGCAGCAAGCGUUGUUCGGAAUUACUGGGCGUAAAGAGUGUGUAGGCGGUGCUCUAAGUCUGUCGUGAAAUCCCCGGGCUCAACCUGGGAACUGCGUUUGAAACUGGGAGGCUAGAGUGCGGCAGAGGGGGGGUGGAAUUCCACGUGUAGAGGUGAAAUUCGUAGAUAUUUGGAGGAAUACCGGUGGCGAAGGCGGCCUUCUGGACCAUUCUUGACGCUGAGACGCGAAAGCGUGGGUAGCAAACAGG
rnacentral:rRNA from 1 species